GCAUCGUUACGUGGAGCCGGAAGCCCACUCUUGCAACUACAACAGUCUUGGUAAACCUUGGGUGGACUGGGGAGAACUGAGGAGGGGAAGCGCUUUUUUGUUGCUUCUCUGUGUUUUCUAUUUUAUUUUAUUUAUUUUAUUUUUAGAUUUUCAGUUCUUAUUUCACCCAGGGAAGGAGACCUGGGUAUCCACCCCAUGUCCUCCAGAGAACUUCCCUGGCCCCGCUCGGAGUCUUCCUGGGACGCCACAGGCUCGGAGAGCGCUCCGCAGGUUUCUCCCCCGGCGCCUCCAAAUCUUUCGAUUCCUACUCGAAUUACUCCGUCAGCUGCUGGAAGAGGGGCAAGGGAGCCAGGAGGACUUCUGGAGCCCGCCCAGCAAGACCCUCUCUCUCCCAUCUUCUGCUCAAGGGCUCGAGGUCUCAGUGGACAGAGCUGAAGAAAAGCCGUCUAUGGAGCCUGCGCCAGGCGCAGACUGGGUCGUCGCAGUCUGGGUCGUCGCAGUCUGGGCCGGGGCGCUGGAAGUCUUACUCACUUCUCAAGAACCCGCAAGGGAUCAGGCCUGACCCUUUGCAAGUGACAGAAUCCAAAGCUUUGAGCUCAUGGGAAAGUGGCUGGAAAGAAGGUCACUGUAGGGCCGCACAGGUCUCUGGCGAGGCUACCCAAGAACAUUUAAAUCCCUGCCCAGAGAAGAAGAGGCUCCAGCUGUCCUGCACCUUCCUGGGAACUGGCAGUCCCUCCGCGCAGGGGUUCUGCAGCGACCGGCAGCGCGAGGAGACAAGGAUGGUGGCCAGUUAACAGAAAAUCAAGGCAGCGGGAAAGGUCUGGAAAACACCACCUACUAUCACCUCUGGAGCCUGGGAUUAUGGGAUAAGUUUUCGAUUUUUAAAUGUAUUGUCAAAUAGCUAAAGUACACGGAAAGUGCGAAAUAAUAGUAAAUUGAACACCUGUGUAUUCACCACACAGCUUAAGCAAUAACAUUAGCAAUAUUUGGGUACCCAGCUGGUCUCAUUCCCUCAUUCCACUUGUCCCCUACUCACCUGAUAGCCAGUACAAUUUUAUGAAUUUAAAGUUACUAAUUCCCAUGCAACUGUUUAUACUUUUAGUAAAUGUGUUUAUGUCCCUCAUCAACACAUGACACUGAUUCAACACAUGUAUAUGCGUUUAAGCUGCAUGUAAAUGGCAUCAUGUUGGCCAGGUGCAGUUACUCACGACUGUAAUUCCAGCACUUUGGAAGGCUGAGAGGGAAGACGGCUUGAGGCCCAGAGUUUGAGACCAGCCUGGGCAACAUAGCAAGACCCUAUCUCUAAAAAAAAAAAAUUGUUUGUUUGUUUGUUUGUUUGUUUGAGACGGAGUCUUGCUGUGUCACUCAGGCUGGAGUGCAGUGGCGCAAUCUCGGCUUGCUGCAAUGUCGGCCUCCGGGGUUCAAGCAAUUCUCCUGCCUUGGCCUCCCAAGUAGCUGGGACUACAGGCACAUCCCACCACGCCCAGCUGAUUUUUGUAUUUUUAGUAGAGACAAGGUUUCACCAUAUUGGCCAUGCUGGUCUACGAACUCUUGACCUCAUGAUCUGCCUGCCUCGGCUUUCCAAAGUGCUGGAAUUACAGGUGUGAGCCCCCGCGCCCAGCCAAAAAAAUUGUUUUAAAUUAGCUGGGUGUGGUGGUGCCUGCCUAUGAAGUCCCAGCUACUCAGGAGGCUGAAGUGGGAAGAUGGCUUGAGCCCAGGAGUUGAAGGAUGCUAUGAGCUCUGAUUGUGCCACUGCACCCCUGCAUGGGCAAUAGAGUGAGACCCUGUCUCUUUAAAAAAAAAAAAAAAAGUAUCAUAUUGUAUGUGUUCUGUAGAACUUGCUCCCACACUUUAACAUUUUGCUUUAAAGAUUUGUUCAUGUACUUAGAUCAUUCCUUUUCACUGCUUUAUGAGCUGAAUCAUUUCUGCUCUUCUUUCCAUCCAUACCCAUUGGUCUCCAAAGUAUCCAGGCCUCCCCAAAAGUUCCUGCAGGAGACCUCAGUUCCACUGGCUUUCAGGUCAUUAUUGUUCCAGCACUACUUCUCCAUUUCUGGUUCCAGCCCUUCUCUCCCACAUUCUCAAGCUUCUAGAGGGUCAUAAGAGAGGAAAAACGCCAAAUGCCUUUGAUAAAAUGUUGCCUUUCCAGUGGUAUGCAUGUUUGUGUGGAGUGGGAGGGAAGUGAGGGCAGAUGUGACUUACUCUCAGCAUUAAUUCAAGUUUAAAAGUAAAAUCUUUAGGUUUGCCUUGUCCAGUAAAAAAUGCCAAGAGCCAUAACUGCUCAUUCUCUCUCUCUCUCUCUCUUCUCUCUCUCUCCUCUCUCUCUCUCUCUCAUACACACACUUGGUUAAUGCAAUAUUUACGUUGUUUUUGCUUCAACAAACUAAAGAGGAGAAGAGAGUUGGUAGGUUAAAGGGGCAGGUUAUUCUUUUUUUUUUUUUUUUUUUUGAGGCAGAAUCUCGCUUUGUCACCCAGGCUGGAGAGCAGUGGCUCGAUCUUGGCUCGCUGCAAGCUCUACCUCCCAGGUUCAUGCCAUUCUCCUGCCUCAGCCUCCUGAGUAGCUGGGACUACAGGUGCCCGCCACCACACCCAGCUAUUUUUUUUUUUUUUGUAUUUUUAGUAGAGACGGGGUUUCACUGUGUUAGCCAGGAUGGUCUCAGUCUCCUGACCUCAUGUUCCGCCCGCCUCGGCCUCCCAAAGUGCUGGGAUUACAGGCGUGAGCCACUGUGCCCGGCCAAAGGGGCAUGUUAUCUUAUUAAGGGCAGGCAGUCUCUCACAGAAAGAAUCACUGUAUUAGUGUAGGGAGAAUCACUGCCUAGGUCAGCCGUGUGUCAAUGACCUGUGUCACUGUCCUCAGUCUGCACAGUGAGACUGGAGGCUGCAUGCCAUGGUCUACAGAUCCCUCACUACAGAAAAUUUGCUUCAGCAUUCUCCGUGAGAGUCACAGGGAGAUUGAUUAUGGGGGUCAAUGCUCAAUGGCAUCAUGGCUGGCCAAGCUUUUUGCAGAAACUUUUACUAGGGGACUGAGGAUUAUAGCAGCAAGCAUCUUAGCAUAGAGCCUUAUCUGUGUUUCCACAGACUAUCUUUCAAACCCAAGCUACUUGUUUAUAAUAUUCACUUUUCAGGCAAAAACAUAUUUUCCACUUUUUUUCUUUUCUUGAUAAAAAGUUUAAAAAACAAAAUUUGCAUAAACACGUAUAUGAUGUUUCUUAGGAACAAUGUUUGCCAUUUGACAAAGUGUGGUGAAAUUUUGUCAGAACAAGUUUACUUGAAGGAGGGAUGAGACAUCCUUUAUCAAUGUUCAUAUGAAUCACACACAUCAGAGAGAGUGGGAGGGAGAAUCUUGGUUCUCUGGCACUCCCAGUACCCACAUUGAGAUCCGAGAGUGUCCUGAUGAUUUUCCUGUCUCAGUAAGUAAUUAAGCUUUUCCUGAAGGAGCUCAGUUAAGUCCAAGCUUAAUUUCAGUCAAGUCCAAUGUUUAAGUUGCUUUUUCAGCUACAUGAAAUGAAAGUGUGACUCAGAAUUUUCUCUCUAUAUCCCCUCAGAUCUUUAGCACACUGAGGGUAAUUACAGAGUCUCAAAGCAUAUCCCCACAAGAUGCUCUAUUUAUUACAAAGGAAAAAGACACUAAUUUUCCAGAGAAUCCUGGAAUAUAUCACCUCAACCAAGUGAUCAAAGUUAACAUCAUUAGUAACAGGACAAAUUAAAUUGCAUGCCACUAAAAGAACAAUUUUUAUUUCUUAUGUAUUCCUGACCCAAUAAAACAAAACAAAACAGCACAAUAGAAAGUAACUAUAAGGAAACAUUAGAGGGUUCAAUGGUGCCCACCUGUAGUCCAAGCUACUUGGGAGUUUGAGGCAGGAGGAUUGCUUGAGGCCAGGAGUUCAAGACCAGCCUGGGCAAUAUAGCAAGACCCUGUCUCAAAGUAAAAAGAAAAGAAAACGUUAAACCCAAACCCAAAUGGAAAGACUGUUCUAGAUUGAAGAACAUUAAAAAGACAAGACAAAGUCACCAUGUAAUCCUAGGCUGUAGCUCGGACUAGAAAAAAAAUUCUUUUUGCUGUAAAGGACACUCUGGCAAUUGUGAGAAUGCACUUCAAAGACCUCAACUUGGAGCUUAAUUCACAAAGCACCCCAGCUGCCUCACUUUGAAAUCCAUUGCACAUUUGUGUGAAGGCCAUGCUUCCAUGGGCUGCUCCCAGCUGAUGACUGAGUAUGGCAAGGACAGCAGGGCAGGCCUUCUCCUAGGAGACAAAGGAUGCCUCUAAUGGCCAACUUUUGCUUGACUUUGAGUAAAUAUCUGGCAUACUUCCACCCAAUCUUUUUCCCCUCUCCUCCACACAGGAUCAGACUUGCAUCAUUGUCUGACAGCUCUCUCAUCUUUCAUUGACUCCCAACUCUCAGCAACAUGGAAAUGCCCAAAUUCCCCUGACAUAUGGUAGAGGAAGAAAUAAAGAGUUUGAGGGAAAUGAGCAUGAAGGAAUGGAUAUAUUAGGGAGGAAUGGCCUACAGGGGCCAUGCAGGGGCUGCAUGGAGGAAUUGGUCAGUACACACAGAAGUGGAUGGCACUGGGCCAGGCACAGUGGCUCACACCUGUAAUCCCAGCACUUUGGGAAGCUGAGGUGGGUGGAUCGCCUGAGCCCAGGAGUUCGAGACCAGUCAAGACAACAUGACAAAACUCCACGUCUACUAAAAAUACAAAAACUAGCUGGGCAUGGUGGCAUGUGCCUGUAAUCCCAGCUACUUGGGAGGCUGAGGCAGGAGAAUCGCUUGAGGUGGAGGUUGCAGUGAGCCAAGAUAGUGCCCCUACACUCCAGCCUGGGUGACAGAGUGAGACUUUGUCUCAAAUAAAUAAAUAAAUAAGAAGUGGACUGCUGUGGUGUGAGAAUGCACCUGACAGACCUCCAAUUAUGGAGAGCUUACACAGCCAAGGGCCCCAACUGCUGCUCUCUGAAACUCAUCCUGCUUUUGUGCUGAGGCCACACUUCCCACAGGCUGCUCCAGCCAGUGACCAAGCACAGCAUGGACACUAAGACAGGCCCAUUCUGGGAGACGUGGGACUCCUCUGAUGGCCAACUUUGACUUGGGGACUCCCUGAUGGCCUUGCCAAACCUUUUUGAUAAAGCACUUUGGUCUAGGAAGCUUCUACCCGACCUUCCUUCCUCUCUCCUUCACUCAGGGUCAGACUUAUAAUGUGAUCUGACAGUUCCCCCAGCAUUUCCUGGCUCUUUCUCCUUUCCUUUCACAGGUGUUUCUCCUGAGAAAAUUCUUGCAUGUUUAAACCCAAUUUGAGGGAUUAUUGGGAAAAUUAUUGGGACCACUAUUGGAACAGUUGACAAACUGUCACUGGGGGUGUGUAGAUUAAAUGUCAGUAUCGUAUAAAUCCAUGUUAAUUUCCUGGUAGUGAUGACAGCACUGUGAUUAUAUAGGAGUGUGUCCUUGGUGUUUGGGAAUUACAUGGUGAAAUGUUUAGGAUAAUGGGGCAACUUACUUUCAAACGGUUCCCCAAAAAUUCUAGAUAGAUAGAUAGAUAGAUAGACAGACAGGCAGGCAGAGUGAGAAAGAAAGUGAGAAUGGUAAAACAAAUAUAUAUAAUGUUUUGUGGGGAGAAUGAAUAGGAGUUUUUUGUAGUAUUCUUACGACUUUUCCAUAAGUUUGAAAUUAUCAAAAAUAAAAAAUGUUUAAAACAUUCUGAAGACAUACAUUCAGCCAACAAUCAUAUGAAAAAAGCUCUACAUCACUGAUCAUUAGAGAAAUGCAAAUCAAAACCACAAUGAGCUAUCAUCUAACACCAGUCAGAAUGGCCAUUAUUAAAAAGUCAAAAAAUAACAGAUGCUGGUGAGGUUGUGGAGAAAAAGGAACACUUAUACAGUUGGUGGUAGUGUAAAUUCAGCCAUUGUGGAAGACAGUGUGGUGAUUCCUCAAAGACAUAAAAACAGAAAUACCAUUCAACCCAGCAAUCCUAUUACUGGAUAUAUACCCAAAGGAAUGUAGAUCAUUCUAUUAUACAGACACACACACGUAUGUUCAUUGCAGCACCACUCACAAUAGCGUAGACAUGGAAUCAACCUAAAUGCUCAUCAGUAACAGACUGGAUAAAGAAAAUGUGGUACAUAUCAUGGAAUACUAUGCAGCCAUAACAAUGAAUGAGAUCAUGUCCUUUGCAGGGACAUGGAUGGAGCUGGAGGCCAUUAUCCUUAGGAAACUAACACAGGAAUAGAAAACCAAAUACCACAUGUUCUCACUUACAAGUGGGAGCUAAAUGAUGAGAACACAUGGACACAUAGAGUGGAACAACUGGGGAGUGGAACAACUGGGGAGUGGAACAUAGAGUGGAACACACACUGGGGCCUUUUGGAGGGUGGGAGGGUAGGAGGAAGGAGAGGAUCAAGAAAAAUAACUAAUGGGUACUAGGCUUAAUACCUGGGUGAUGAAAUAAUCUGUACAACAAACCCCCAUGACACAAGUUUACCUAUGUAACAAACCUGCACUUAUACCCAUGAACUUAAAAUGUUUUUUUAAAAUCUUAAACAACGCUCAGAAUCUUGAUUGAAAGUCUUAGUGCAAAAGGGCUUGCAUAACUAAUAUGGUUUGGGACUGUGUCCCCACACAAACCUCAUGUCAAAUUGUAAUCCCUAGUGUCGGAGAACGGACAUCGUGGGAGGUGAUUAGAUCAAGGGGGUGGAUUUCCCCCAUGCUGUUCUCAUUAUAAUGGGUGAGUUGUCCUGAGAUCUAGUUGUUUAAAAAUGUGUAGCACCUCCCCCUUCCCUCUAUUCAUCCUGCUCCAGCCAUGUAGGAUGUGCUGGCUUCCCUUACACCUUCUGCCAUGAUUGUAAGUUUCCUGAGGUCUCCCCAGCCAUGCUUCCUGUGCAGCCUGUGGUACCAUGAGCCAAUUCAACCUCUUUUCUUUAUAAAUUACCUAGUCUUAGGUAGUUCUUUAUAGCAAUGUGAAAACAGAUUAAUACAAUAGCCUUCUUCUUUAUCUUGAAACUCAUCAAGGACACCAAGGUCAUUCCACCCAAAUUAAAAGUUUCCCUUUUAUCUUCCAAAGUGAUUUAUAGUAGGAAGAUGGAAGGCUGUUUACACUUUUAUUGAUUGCUUAGUUUUGUUCAUAUAGUUAUACAUUUUAAAAUUCUUGCAGAAUUAGUUUGCUAGGGCUGCCAUAACAAAAUAUAAGACCUGGUGGCUUAAACAACACGAAUUCAUUUUCUCACAGUUCUAGAGGCUGGAAGUCCAAGAUCAAGGUGUCAGCAGAUGUUGUUUCUUCUGAGGCCUCUCUUUUUGGCUUGCAGUUGCUGCUUUCUCACUGUGCCCUCACAUGAUCUCCACUUCAUAUACAUGUGCUUCCCUGGUGUCUCUUCCUCUUCUUAGGAGAAUACUGAUUGUAUUGAAUUAGGGCCCCACUCUUAUGACCUUAGUUAGCUUUAAUUACCUCUUUAAAGGUUCCAUCUCUAAAUGUAUUCACAUUUUGAGGUAGUGAGGGUUAGGGAUUCAACAUACAAAUUUUGGGGAAACACAAUUCAUCCUAUAACAUAGAGUGUACCAUUCUCCCUUUAAUAAAGGCUACUUAUAUCACCACCACCCCCACACAUACACCAGAAGGCAACUUUCUCUAAAAGAAAACCACUCUAAGAUUCAGUCCUCUGCAGAAUAAUGUAAAUCUCAACUCUUUUGAAAAUCUGGUUAAUGUUAAGCCUAUAAUUUUAUUUUCAUUUUCUUCCAACCUGAACGACUUUUCUUAAAGGGUUCAUACAUUUAAAGUUUUGCCUAUAUUUUUGGCUGGGCAUGGCGGCUCAUGCUGGUAAUCCCAGCAGCACUUUGGGAGACUGAAGCGGGCAGAUCAUUUGAGCUAAGGAUUUUGAGACCAGCCAUGGCACCAGACAUGGCAAAACCUCAUAUCUAUUAAAAAUACAAAAAUUAGCUGGCCUUGGUGGGGCACUUGUAGUCUCAGCUACUCAGGAGGCUGAAGUGGGAGGAUCGCUUGAGCCUGGGAGGUCGAGACUGCAGUGAGCUGUGAUCAUGCCACUGCACUCCAGCCUGGGUGACAGAGUAAGACCCCAUCUCAAAAAAUAAUAAGAAGAAAAUAAAAUUUUGGCUAGAUUUCCUUCCUUUUUUUCUGGGAGGGUUUUGAGCUUUCUUAUGUUAGAUUAUUAUGUACUUGAUAGCCUCUUGAAGCUACUGAAAAUAGGAGAUCUAUACAGUUUAAGGAACUAUAUGGGCUUUACUUUCUAUUACAUCUGAAGGUGUAUUAUCUCAUCUAAUUUGAAAGGUGCUUCUUUCCCUUGUCACCCUUCAUAUGUUCAUAUGAAUCCUCCAGGAACACAUAGACUCUAGACAUACAUUGUUUCAAUCAAAAAGGUUGAAGCCUCUUUUGGGGCCGGUUUAAGAAUCUUCACAUUCUAAUUUCUAUUGUACUUUAACAGGCUCAAGCCUUACAAAGAAAGAAAGUUUGCUCAUCUCUUACCACAAUAAAAAUCUAACUUGAUCCACUCUCAAGCUUAGAAAGCUUUAUUUCAGAAGACAGAAUUGCAAUAGUUCUAUCUCUAAUUUAAGUGAGAGCAGGGUCUGGGCACAGCGGCUCACACCUGUAAUCCCAGUACUUUGGAGGUCGAGGCAGGCAGAUUGCUUGAGGCCAAGAGUUCAAGACCAGCCUGGGCAACAUGGCAAAACCCUGUCUCCACAAAAAUUUAGCCAGGCAUAGUAGUGUGCACCUGUGGUCCCAGCUACUUGGGAGGCCGAGGUGACAGAAUCACUUGAACCUGAGAGGCGGAGGUUGUAGGGAGCCGAGAUUCUGCCACUGUACUCCAGCCUGGGUGACAGAGUGAGACCCUGUCUCAAAAAAAAAGAAAAAAAAAUUAAGUGAGAGCAGCUUCCACCUAUCCUAUGGACCCAGGACAAAGUGACAUCUGUCAAAAGCCAUAAGACAACAGACAAAAACAAAAAUCAAUGUUUUAAUUUUCCAGUGACCCUGAUUUUAAGCAAAACUAAUUAUUUAGCAACAGAGUUCAAAGCUGGCCAGCACUAGACAGCAGUGACAGGUAACCCUCCUACCUCCCCACCCCAGCAUCGCUAUUUUUACUUAUUCAGAUUUAGGCUUCAAUUGGAGUUACCACCUGUAUUCAUUUCCUAAGCCUACCAUAACAACAUACCAUAAAAUCGGUGGCCUAAAACAGCAGAAAUUUAUUUUCUUUGUUCUGGAAGCUAGAAGUCUGAAAUCAAGUUGUCAGUAGGGCUCUUCUCCCUGAGACUCUCAGUAGAAUCCUCUCUUACCUCUGCCCAGUGGUGGCCAUCAAUCCUCCAUGUUCCUUGGCUUGCAGCUGUGUCACUCCGAUCUCUGCCACCAUCACUAUGUGGCCUUCUCCCUGUGUGUGUCUCUCUUCACACCAUCUCCCUUCUUAUAAAGACAUGAGUCAUAUUGGAUUAAGAGCUUACUCUACUCCAAUGUGACCUCAUCUUAACUAAUUACUUCUACAGUAACCCUG
rnacentral:lncRNA from 10 species